rnacentral:rRNA from 1 species
GUGCAGCAGGCGCGAAACCUCUGCAAUGCGCGCAAGCGCGACAGGGCUACCCUGAGUGCCGCCCGCUGAGGGCGGCUUUCUCCGGUGUAAUGAGUCGGAGGAAUAAGGGAGGGCGAGCCUGGUGUCAGCCGCCGCGGUGAUACCAGCUCCCCGAGUGGUGGGACGGUUAUUGGGCCUAAAGCGUCCGUAGCCGGUUCGGCAAGUCCUCCGUUAAAGCCAACGAUCCAAUCGUUGGAAUGCGGGGGACACUGCCGGACUAGGGGGCGGGAGAGGCCGACGGUACUCCUGGGGUAGGGUGAAAUCCUAUAAUCCCAGGAGGACCACCAGUGGCGAAGGCGGUCGGCCAGAACGCGCCCGACGGUGAGGGACGAAAGCUGGGGGAGCGAUCCGGAUUAGAUACCCCUGUAGU